GAUGAACGCUGGCGGCGUGCCUAAUACAUGCAAGUCGAACGAAACUUCUUUAUCACCGAGUGCUUGCACUCACCGAUAAAGAGUUGAGUGGCGAACGGGUGAGUAACACGUGGGCAACCUGCCCAAAAGAGGGGGAUAACACUUGGAAACAGGUGCUAAUACCGCAUAACCAUAGUUACCGCAUGGUAACUAUGUAAAAGGUGGCUAUACUACCGCCUUUGGAUGGGCCCGCGGCGCAUUAGCUAGUUGGUAGGGUAAAGGCUUACCAAGGCAAUGAUGCGUAGCCGAAUUGAGAGGUUGAUCGGCCACAUUGGGACUGAGACACGGCCCAAACUCCUACGGGAGGCAGCAGUAGGGAAUCUUCCACAAUGGGCGAAAGCCUGAUGGAGCAACGCCGCGUGGGUGAAGAAGGUCUUCGGAUCGUAAAACCCUGUUGUUAGAAGAAAGUGCGUGAGAGUAACUGUUCACGUUUCGACGGUAUCUAACCAGAAAGCCACGGCUAACUACGUG
rnacentral:rRNA from 1 species